UGAGGAAUAUUGGUCAAUGGGCGCAAGCCUGAACCAGCCAUGCCGCGUGCAGGAUGACGGUCCUAUGAGAUUGUAAAUCUGCAUUUUGUACGGGAAGAAACCCUCUCUAC
rnacentral:rRNA from 1 species